rnacentral:rRNA from 1 species
AUUGAACGCUGGCGGCAGGCCUAACACAUGCAAGUCGAGCGGAUGAAGGGAGCUUGCUCCUGGAUUCAGCGGCGGACGGGUGAGUAAUGCCUAGGAAUCUGCCUGGUAGUGGGGGAUAACGUCCGGAAACGGGCGCUAAUACCGCAUACGUCCUGAGGGAGAAAGUGGGGGAUCUUCGGACCUCACGCUAUCAGAUGAGCCUAGGGCGGAUUAGCUAGUUGGUGGGGUAAAGGCCUACCAAGGCGACGAUCCGUAACUGGUCUGAGAGGAUGAUCAGUCACACUGGAAGUGAGACACGGUCCAGACUCCUACGGGAGGCAGCAGUGGGGAAUAUUGGACGAUGGGCGAAAGCCUGAUCCAGCCAAGCCGCGUGUGUGCAGAAGGUCUUCGGAUUGUAAAGCACUUUAAGUUGGGAGGAAGGGCAGUAAGUUAAUACCUUGCUGUUAUGACGUUACCAACAGAAUAAGCACCGGCUAACUUCGUG